rnacentral:rRNA from 1 species
AUUGAACGCUGGCGGCAGGCCUAACACAUGCAAGUCGAGCGGCAGCGGGAAAGUAGCUUGCUACUUUUGCCGGCGAGCGGCGGACGGGUGAGUAAUGCCUGGGGAUCUGCCCAGUCGAGGGGGAUAACUACUGGAAACGGUAGCUAAUACCGCAUACGCCCUACGGGGGAAAGCGGGGGACCUUCGGGCCUUGCGCGAUUGGAUGAACCCAGGUGGGAUUAGCUAGUUGGUGAGGUAAUGGCUCACCAAGGCGACGAUCCCUAGCUGGUCUGAGAGGAUGAUCAGCCACACUGGACCUUAGACACGGUCCAGACUCCUACGGGAGGCAGCAGUGGGGAAUAUUGCACAAUGGGGGAAACCCUGAUGCAGCCAUGCCGCGUGUGUGAAGAAGGCCUUCGGGUUGUAAAGCACUUUCAGCGAGGAGGAAAGGUUGGUAGCUAAUAACUGCCAGCUGUGACGUUACUCGCAGAAGAAGCACCGGCUAACUCCGUGCCAGCAGCCGCAGUAAAAC